UUCUGACAAGGAUGACAGCUCGCCGAGUUGGGUAGCGUCAACUUGUGACUCAAGUGAGGGCAUUAUGGUGGUGGGAUAAUACUGUGGCUUCUCUGGGUUGGGCUGUGUAUGGCAAAAUGCUGGCCUGUCCAUUCCAAGUUGAGAGCUGACUCAUGGGUCCUGAGCGAAGGCUUGGGUCUCUGGAGUCCUAAAGUGGAGGACACAGCGUGAGGCUGGUUUCACAGAGCAGCGAAAACCUCCCUCUCCUGACAGUGGAUGGAUAACAGGCCGCUGCAAUCAUAGUCCAGUAUGCCCAGGGAGCCCAGUUUACCUAGACCGCCACCAUUUUUACAACCCUAAAUCCUCUUCCCUUUUCUUUCUUUAUAUAAAUCUAAUUGCUAAUAUGAACCUAUGUUAUAUGUUUCUCCAUUACUCCUUCCGUUCCUUUUUCUGUUCGAUUUUGUUUGCGCAGGUGGUGCCCCCUGCUGUACUGGUUGUUGUGUCUCCCUCAUUCCCACUGUUGAAUAUUCAACUCCCACCCAGGGUUGCUGUUAUAAGAGCAAAGUUUCUAGCCUAUUCUACAUAUACCAUGGGAACCAGAGGAGUAAUUGGAGACAAGUGGUCCAUCACAACUAUUCUUUGAGCUUGUGCUAUUGGAAGUGCUGUCAGUAAGUAUUUUGAACCCUUGGGUUUCUGCUAUUUCUUUUUUCAUUGAAACUUUGUUCAAUUACAAUCUUCUUUUCAUAACUACAAAUUGUCUAGUCCUGUAUAGAAAGGAAAUCACAGAAAAGAGGAUGCUGGCUGAAGAACUAAGGGCAACUGAGUCAGGGGGGAGCAAUGGGGAAGACGGCUAAACUAUAUUUUGUGAUAACUAGUAUGUAGUAUCAUAGAGCAUAUGCAAAGUUUCAGAUUUUCUGAAAGGUGUUUCUCCUUAUGAUUUUAAAGUUCCAGAACAACAAGUGGAUUCAACCUCUUGAUCAGGGUCCAAGGAUCUUGGAAAUCACGCUCAGAAUCACUAUCCCACAAAGAUAUUGGCUUGGUUAUUGGCGACCCACUGUAGAAGUCAAAAUGGGUUGCCAAACUGGUGUAUGCUCCAUGUCAAAUAAUCCCUUCAUGGAUGUGCUUCCUUCUUUCAUCAACCCCAACAAACUGCGUGAUUUAUAGAGUGAGAAGAAGGAUGAUGAGGAUGCUAUUAAAGAUGACAAAGAAGAUGAUGCUGAUGACUUAUACAGAGAUUUUUGGUACAGUAUAAUACUCCCUAUCUUUUCCAUCUGUUUUUCUCUGUUGAUAAACCAAUGUGUAUCUUCAUCUAUCUACAAGGAUGCAUAUAUAAUGGACAAACGUGAUGCAUAUGUACCAAAGAUAUAUGUGAUGCAUAUAUACGUCCAAGAUAGUUAUUUUGAUUUUAUACAAUGGACAAAUCAUUUGAAAUUAAUUAUGAAGCCGG